CCCAAUAAUGCUCAAGCCUUUAAUGUAGUCCAUCCGUGGUUGGGCUUGAGGAACACAUCCAGCAACUACCACCUUUUUAUUCUGUUCUUGAGCUUUCCUGAAUUGAAUUUCUGAAGUG